rnacentral:miRNA from 1 species
AACUCAGCUGUUCAUUGGCUGUAGCCGGUUUCGUCGUAAGCAACGAAAACACGAAACCGGCUACAGCCAAUGAACAGCUGAGUUUUA